GGACUUAUAGCUCAAAGGUAGAGCGGCCAGUAUUAUAAAACUGCGCAUUUUGUUGGUUCGAGUCCAACUAAGUCCA
rnacentral:tRNA from 1 species